rnacentral:misc_RNA from 1 species
GUCUAUGAACACUCUGUUCAUAUUAGGGAGCUCAUAUUCCCUUUUAUAUCACGAAAAGCACUGCAUACAUAGGACCAUUGAA